GUGCUGUGAUACAUCAACACAUCAUUCUGAUGCAAAACCAUGGAGAGAAUCGUACAAUAACUGAGAACA
ensembl:snoRNA SNORD63 Small nucleolar RNA SNORD63